rnacentral:rRNA from 1 species
ACCGGGGCGACAGCAAUAUGAAGGUCAGGCUGAAGACCUUACCGGAUUCGCUGAGAGGUGGUGCAUGGCCGUCGUCAGUUCGUACUGUGAAGCAUCCUGUUAAGUCAGGCAACGAGCGAGACCCACGCCCACAGUUGCCAGCGAUCCCUCCGGGGAGGCGGGUACUCUGUGGGGACCGCCGCUGCUAAAGCGGAGGAAGGAAUGGGCAACGGUAGGUCAGUAUGCCCCGAAUCCCCCGGGCUACACGCGGGCUACAAUGGUCGGCACAAUGGGUACCGACCCCGAGAGGGGUAGGCAAUCUCCUAAAGCCGAUCGUAGUUCGGAUUGAGGGCUGAAACUCGCCCUCAUGAAGCUGGAAUCCGUAGUAAUCGCGUUUCAACAGAACGCGGUGAAUACGUCCCUGCUCCUU